GCGGUCCUCGCGCGCUGGCCAUCAGGCGCUGCUGACGCUGCCGCUCCUCUUCCUGGGGCUGUCGCUGCUCUGGACGGUGCUGUUGGACCCCGGCGCCGUCUCCGCGUGGCUCUGGAGCCUCACCUCGGAGACGACGCUGCGCCGCCUGCGCUACACGCUGUCCCCGCUGCUGGAGCUGCGCGCUAACGGGCUGCUGCCAACCUAAGUGCAGCGCCCCGCGCCUGGCUCCAGGUGGACUCCAGGGCACCUGGCUUUAUUUCUGGUGCACUCCUCUCCUGAGAGUGUAGACCAAGGUCGCCUAAUAAACUCCUCAAGGGAUGAAGCUCGUGGGUUCGUCGUCUGUCUCCCAUGUCAUGUAGGAGCUUGACUGGCUUUUCAGCCUCCAAAGAUUCCUUCCUUUCUUACAGCUCAUGGAUUUAGAUCCACUCCCCAGUAUUGUAAACAGCAUUUUUAGUUUUUCAGGAUACAUAAUUUGCCAUAUUGUCAGAAACUUGUACAUAGCAUUUGACACUUUUUUCCCCUGACAAGUUGGCAAGCUGCCUUUUUCAAGUGUUGUGAUUUCAAUUUAUUUCUACUAUAUUUGAAUUUAUUUCCACCAUUUGUAACAUGUUGAUCCUGAUUUUUCAAUGCUCCCCUUUCCUUCUGUUUGAUUAUUUGGGAAGUCACACUCUGUAUUCUGGUAUUCUUACUACUUGAGCUCAGCUCAUUGCUGUCAUCUUCCCCUAAACCGCCUUAAAGCAUCUUAGGUCUUUUCCCUCUGAUCACAUGUGCUACUUUUUUUUUUUUUUUUCUUUUGAGACGGAGUCUUGCUCUGCGCCCAGGCUGGAGUGCAGUGGCAUGAUCUCAGCUCACUGCAAGCUCUGCCUCCCGGGUUCCAGCGAUUCUCCUGCCUCAGCCUCCCAAGUAGCUGGGACUUCAGGCGCC
rnacentral:lncRNA from 1 species